GAUGCUAUUCUAGAGAUAGAAAGUUACUUCGGUACAUCGGUGACAGGUGGUGCAUGGUUGUCGGUCAGCUCGUGUCGUGAGAUGUUGGGUUAAGUCCCGCAACGAGCGCAACCCCUAUUGUUAGUUGCCAUCAUUCAGUUGGGCACUCUAGCGAGACUGCCGGUAAUAAACCGGAGGAAGGUGGGGAUGACGUCAAAUCAUCAUGCCCCUUAUGACCUGGGCUACACACGUGCUACAAUGGUUGGUACAACGAGUUGCGAGUCGGUGACGGCGAGCUAAUCUCUUAAAGCCAAUCUCAGUUCGGAUUGUAGGCUGCAACUCGCCUACAUGAAGUCGGAAUCGCUAGUAAUCGCGGAUCAGCACGCCGCGGUGAAUACGUUCCCGGGCCUU
rnacentral:rRNA from 1 species